rnacentral:hammerhead_ribozyme from 1 species
AUCCAGCUGACGAGUCCCGAAUAGGACGAAGUAGAAGUCCUAGAU